rnacentral:misc_RNA from 1 species
UACACACUGUUUUUUCAUAUUACAUAUGGAUCAUCACUACUCAGGCUGCCUUCACAGCUGCAGUGGUUGCAACUUCUGUUGUUGGAAUGGCUUUGAGAAUGAUUUCAACAUUGUCAUGAACUCCUUGCAGCAACAACUCACCAUCAUAACUCACUAUUUUUCUCUUCUUUGCUGCUCUUAGCGUCCCGACCAGCGCUUCAAAUAUAUUAGCACAUCUAUCAUCAUUGAACAACACCCCAAAUGUUACCUUGUAA